rnacentral:tRNA from 1 species
ACUUUUAAAGGAGAGUACCUAUCCGAUGGUCUUAGGAACCAAAAUACUUGGUGCAAAUCCAAGUAAAAGUAAUG